rnacentral:rRNA from 1 species
GACGAACGCUGGCGGCGUGCUUAACACAUGCAAGUCGAACGGUAAGGCCCUUCGGGGUACACGAGUGGCGAACGGGUGAGUAACACGUGGGUGAUCUGCCCUGCACUUCGGGAUAAGCCUGGGAAACUGGGUCUAAUACCGGAUAGGACCACUGCCUGCAUGGGUGGUGGUGGAAAGCUUUUGCGGUGUGGGAUGGGCCCGCGGCCUAUCAGCUUGUUGGUGGGGUGAUGGCCUACCAAGGCGACGACGGGUAGCCGGCCUGAGAGGGCGACCGGCCACACUGGGACUGAGACACGGCCCAGACUCCUACGGGAGGCAGCAGUGGGGAAUAUUGCACAAUGGGCGCAAGCCUGAUGCAGCGACGCCGCGUGAGGGAUGAAGGUCUUCGGAUUGUAAACCUCUUUCAGUAGGGACGAAGCGAAAGUGACGGUACCUAAAGAAGAAGCACCGGCUAACUACGUGCCAGCCGCCGCAGUAA